rnacentral:rRNA from 1 species
UACGAAGGGGGCUAGCGUUGCUCGGAAUCACUGGGCGUAAAGGGCGCGUAGGCGGAUCUUUAAGUCGGGGGUGAAAGCCCAGGGCUCAACCCUGGAAUUGCCUUCGAUACUGAAGAUCUCGAGACCGGAAGAGAUAAGUGGAACUGCGAGUGUAGAGGUGAAAUUCGUAGAUAUUCGCAAGAACACCAGUGGCGAAGGCGGCUUACUGGUCCGGUUCUGACGCUGAGGCGCGAAAGCGUGGGGAGCAAACAGG